UACGAAGGGUGCUAGCGUUGUUCGGAUUUACUGGGCGUAAAGGGCACGCAGGCGGCCAAACAAGUCAGAGGUGAAAUCCCAGGGCUCAACCCUGGAACUGCCUUUGAAACUGUUUGGCUAGAGACCGAGAGAGGUGAGUGGAAUUCCUAGUGUAGAGGUGAAAUUCGUAGAUAUUAGGAGGAACACCAGUGGCGAAGGCGGCUCACUGGCUCGGUACUGACGCUCAUGUGCGAAAGCGUGGGGAGCGAACAGG
rnacentral:rRNA from 1 species